CCGCGACCCCAGGUCAGGCGGGAUCACCCGCUGAGUUUAA
rnacentral:rRNA from 2 species